rnacentral:rRNA from 1 species
GACGAACGCUGGCGGCGUGCCUAAUACAUGCAAGUCGAGCGAAGCGCCGGAUGGUUGAGUAACUCGUGGGUAACCUGCCCUUAAGUCUGGGAUACCAUCUGCAUACAGCUGCUAAUACCGGAUACUACUGGAUGGGUCUGCGAUGAAUUAGCUAGUUGGUAAGGUAACGGCUUACCAAGGCGAUGAUGCGUAUCCGAGUUGAGAGGCUGAUCGGCCACAUUGGGACUGAGACACGGCCCAAACGCCUACGGGAGGCAGCAGUAGGGAAUCUUGCACAAUGGACGAAAGUCUGAUGGAGCAACGCCGCGUGAGUGAAGAAGGUUUUCGGAUUGUAAAGCUCUGUUGUUGGUGAAGCGGUAAUCAACCAGAAAGUAACGGCUAACUACGUGCCAGCAGCCGCGGUAAUUC